GGAAAUAGCAGGAUUUGUGGGGGUUUGUAGGAUUUCAGGCUCAGGCUUUGAGGCACUCAAGAGGACUGAGAUGCUACUAAAGUCAGAGCCUCUGUCACCAUUAAUGCCUCAAGUUGUUCUCCUUCUGCAUAGCUACAGGUGCAUGCUGGAGGCAGAAGCUGGGCUGGUGGAGCUUGGGAGCUGUGUCUGCAGCUGCCUCCAGGAACACCAACCAGUGCUGUGUGGCACCACUUUGCAAAUUGUGAAGCCUCUGCUUGCAACCCUCACGGUGAUGACCAUGCAGCAAAUGUGGACAAACCAGUGAGGAAAUGGGAGAAAGGACCAUCAGCUCAUUGCCAUGCUGGUUGCCACUGAAUUUUGAUGAGUGAGUGUCUGCCUCUCUGCCCCCAUGGGAAACCCUCAACAUACUUUAAUUCCUAUUGAUUUCUGUCUGACAAAAGUGAUAUCUAACUCACAGUUUAUAGAAGUCAAAAUCUGAGGUCUUUUAUUCUGACUUUGAUCAAUAAAUUUCUUUUCCUCAUGGAAAGCCUGGGGGCA
rnacentral:lncRNA from 1 species